GUGCACAUGCUGUCGGUUCUGCGUGUGCCCCGAAAAGAUCUGGGUUUUCGGCUCAGCCCUGGCUCGGACAAUCAAAAACAAACCAAAAAAUGGUGCGGACCGGUCAACAUCACGUGUUAAGAGACGUGCUAGCGAUUGACACUACGACUCAGGGUUUUCGGCCUAGUGGUUAGCGCGUUGGUCCACCAUGCCUUUAAGUUUGUUACUGUCGCAUUGAGAGAGAAAUAGUUCUCUGACCGCAUGGCUUUGAAGUUUAGUAAGUCAUGGCUUUGAAGUUUGAGUUCUCUGCUUUGAAGUUAGUUAGUUAGUUAGCUAGUUAGUUCAGUUGAGACUGAAGUAGCCACUGAGACACAUGUUUUUCUUACCGUACUUGCAAUUCGCCUAGCUCCAAAUAUUCACCUAGUGGUAGUGAAUGGGACUGCACAUUGUUUAGUCGAUUUUUUGUUGGGAAGUUUGUUUGAAAUUUGACCUACAUUUGAAUGGCGAGUUUUGAAUGCAAGACUUUUACUUGUAUUGGAGUACUUGACACUUGUGUUGGUUCUUCUUCCAUCACUGGUUGCAGCAGACAAAACUCAGAAGGAGCCAUAGGAGAAAAGAUUUAGGUUGGAUCCAAUGACCUAUUUAACUAUACUGUUACUUAAACAUUACAAAAUGUACACUAAAGGUCAAUCGAGGUCUUUCUUUGUCAUUUGACCUUGCUGUCCCAAGGCUUGAGGGGAGAGUUAUGCAACAACCUAUGCAUUGUGCAUUAGGCACUGUCUGACAAAGCCAUCCUACAAUUUGGCUUCACUCAUUAAGUUGUGAAGGGAAAACUGAAGUCGCAAGAUUUUCUCAGCACAGUAAACAAAGCCAUUACAUAAUACAUUCAGUCAUUUAGUUGUCGCAAAAAAGUAAGAAAUGUUUUGAAACAAGGGACAAUUAACAUGUAACCUGAAUUUAAAUGUCUCAAAAACAGGUGUGAUAUUAUGUGGCCGCAAUUUGUUUUAUCUGUAGAGGGCAAUAUUAGUCGAUUAACUAGUCAUUCAACUGAAUAAAAUGGCAUUUUGAUGAUUGAUUCAUUAUACAAUUUUAGUCAUUUAUAAAGCAAAAUUGCAUGUUUUCUGACUUCAUGUCCUCCAAUGAGAGCAUUUGUGGCCUUCAUCCAUUUUCAACAGUUGCAAACUGAAUUUAUUUGUUUUUGGACUGCUGCUGGGACAAAAUAAGAAAUAUCCAGAGGUACAGGUAAUAUAAUCACCACACAAAAUGAGCAACUUAACAGAAUGACAGGACAGAAAAUGCCCCCAAAAAUGGACAGAUAUUUUAAAAUCUUGACCAUUUAUGAGCAAAAGUAGAUUUUGUGUUACAUUCCCCCGUUGUUUCUAUUCAAGGUAAAACACUUGAGGAAGCUGUGUCCGUGUUAUAGUCAAAGUGAUUGAAUGUGGGGCAUGUGAAGUUUGUUACUCUUAACAGUGAAUGAAGGUCACUUCAGAAAAAAGUUCACUGGGCCUUGACUGUUGCACACUGAAGACAAGGGGGAACCUACCGUGCCACAACCUGUAUUACAUCCUGUACUGUUUCAGAGGAUAGAACAUCCCCUCUGGUGUAUUGUUUUCUACAGUAGCUUAACAUCCUAAACACGGUAAAAGAAGUGGCAGAAAACUCCCGUUCCCUGGAAAGCCAGCAUGCUGCCAAACCCUCUGAUUUUACCGUAAACAAAAACAUUUCCUGUGUAACACACACGUUUCCCCCAAUUGUACCUAUCCUGUCGAUGAGAAGUAAAACGUCUCUAGGGGGAAAUUAAUGCUGCCCUGUUGCUUUGUUUUUAUAUUUUAUUGUGUAAGUGUGGAGUAAAUAAGUAAAUAAACAAGUAGAUGACUGCA